rnacentral:rRNA from 1 species
UGGGGAAUUUUGGACAAUGGGGGCAACCCUGAUCCAGCAAUGCCGCGUGUGUGAAGAAGGCCUUCGGGUUGUAAAGCACUUUUGUCCGGAAAGAAAACCUCCGUCCUAAUACGGUGGGGGGAUGACGGUACCGGAAGAAUAAGCACCGGCUAACUACGUGCCAGCAGCCGCGGUAAUACGUAGGGUGCAAGCGUUAAUCGGAAUUACUGGGCGUAAAGCGUGCGCAGGCGGUUCGCUAAGACCGAUGUGAAAUCCCCGGGCUUAACCUGGGAACUGCAUUGGUGACUGGCGGGCUAGAGUAUGGCAGAGGGGGGUAGAAUUCCACGUGUAGCAGUGAAAUGCGUAGAGAUGUGGAGGAAUACCGAUGGCGAAGGCAGCCCCCUGGGCCAAUACUGACGCUCAUGCACGAAAGCGUGGGGAGCAAACAGGAUUAGAUACCCUGGUAGUCCACGCCCUAAACGAUGUCAACUAGUUGUCGGGUCUUCAUUGACUUGGUAACGAAGCUAACGCGUGAAGUUGACCGCCUGGGGAGUACGGUCGCAAGAUUA